rnacentral:rRNA from 1 species
GACGAACGCUGGCGGCGUGCUUAACACAUGCAAGUCGAACGGAAAGGCCCUGCUUUUGUGGGGUGCUCGAGUGGCGAACGGGUGAGUAACACGUGAGUAACCUGCCCUUGACUUUGGGAUAACUUCAGGAAACUGGGGCUAAUACCGGAUAGGAGCUCCUGCUGCAUGGUGGGGGUUGGAAAGUUUCGGCGGUUGGGGAUGGACUCGCGGCUUAUCAGCUUGUUGGUGGGGUAGUGGCUUACCAAGGCUUUGACGGGUAGCCGGCCUGAGAGGGUGACCGGCGACAUGGGGACUGAGAUACGGCCCAGACUCCUACGGGAGGCAGCAGUGGGGAGUAUUGCACAAUGGGCGGAAGCCUGAUGCAGCAACGCCGCGUGCGGGAAGACGGCCUUCGGGUUGUAAACCGCUUUCGCCUGUGACGAAGCGUGAGUGACGGUAAUGUGUAAAGAAGCACCGGCUAACUACGUG